rnacentral:rRNA from 1 species
GCCGGUAAGGUGAUAUGAACCGUUAUAACCGGCGAUUUCCGAAUGGGGAAACCCAGUGUGACUCGUCACACUAUCAUUAACUGAAUCCAUAGGUUAAUGAGGCGAACCGGGGGAACUGAAACAUCUAAGUACCCCGAGGAAAAGAAAUCAACCGAGAUUCCCCCAGUAGCGGCGAGCGAACGGGGAGGAGCCCAGAGCCUGAAUCAGCAUGUGUGUUAGUGGAAGCGUCUGGAAAGGCGCGCGAUACAGGGUGACAGCCCCGUACACAAAAGCGCAUGUGCUGUGAGCUCGAUGAGUAGGGCGGGACACGUGGUAUCCUGUCUGAAUAUGGGGGGACCAUCCUCCAAGGCUAAAUACUCCUGACUGACCGAUAGUGAACCAGUACCGUGAGGGAAAGGCGAAAAGAACCCCGGCGAGGGGAGUGAAAAAGAACCUGAAACCGUGUACGUACAAGCAGUGGGAGC